AAACAGUAACAACAAGUUUCAAACAAACAGAUUGCUUUUCUGGUUUUCAUUUCAACUUCAACUUUUCACAUGAAUUCAUGCUUCACAUUUUCAGCUUACAACAGCCAUGUUAAAGUCGUGUACCUGGUAUUGAAAACAAGAACAGAGGAAGGUGAGGAUCAGCGGUAGUAGCAAACAACAAAACAACAACAGUAGUAGCUAAAAUAGCCCAGCAACAGAUUAAAACCCAGCAGUAACUUCAGAAAAUACCAAACAGCAGCACCAAAUGCACCAGAAAAUCCAAGAAUGCAACCCAAAUACCAACAACAAUAUAAACACCCACAAUAUGACCAAAACUUGAGUUUGCAACAAGAGAUAGACCAGCAGACUUUCAGAAAAUUCCCACAGCUCUCGAUGAAACAGUAACAGAGGUAAAUACUGAUUUCAACAGUAAAAGGGAAGCAAAUUUUUCUUCUUUAAAUAUCAAACCCAUUAAACUUUAGUGUAAAAUUUUUAGCCUACUUAAAUCUCUAGCUUCAACACUCUUGUUUUUCUCUGGCUUCUCAGGAUCCAAAAAAAAACCAGCCUCCUUUUGUUCUAAAUGAGCCUAUUUAUAGGCAAAGUAGGCAAGCACCAGGCUGCCUUGAUACCUUCAGACCUUAACUCUGCCCAUACCCCUUAACUUCCCAUGCCUAAGUAUCUUUUCUUGAUGCCCUAUAUUGUUCCCCAUGCUUGUCCUAUUGUUCUAAUCAAGAGUUAUGAGUUUAUUAGAGUAUUCAUUUAAAACUCCCAUACUCUUAUGUCUUGUUCCCCAUUGUCAUUAGAUUAAUAGUAUUUUAAUUAACCACUUGACAGACCCUUAAGUUAAUUCUAAUAAAACCUUGUCAAAUGCAAAAUUACCCUUAACCCCCUAAAGAUUACUGUUAUGCCCUAACUCUUAAUAGUCAGUAUAUAAACCCCUCUAAAUUCAACUAAUCACUGAUUACUAACUAUCAGAUUAUACAACUAUGACCAAUUCAAUCCUAUCCAAACACACAAAAUGAUUUCAGACAUAAGGGAUGAGGGAAUGAGGUUCAUGUGGCCUUAAAAUAAGCGAGCCAGUUUGAUUCAAAGAAGCAAUUGGAUACAUUCAACAACUUCAACUCAAUCACAUAAGAACAGAAAAGAAGCAGAAAUGACAAACACUGGAAUGAGUCAAAGAGAUAAACUAUUGUCAUGCUUCCUCCUUCUUUUAAUCAUACUAAACGACGAUAUUUAAACAUUCGAUUACACACUAUAAUGGAUAACAAUUAAUUGAUACACAAUUAAACUCAACAUGGCACCUAUAUGAACCACUUGACGAUAUUAAUCAGAUUAAACACGUAGUCCAUCACGAUAGGUACAACUAACAGACAAACAAAAGACUCGACUAGAUAAAAGGUCUUAUGAAGACGGACAGAAUUAAAAGAGAAAUGAUAGAAAAAUCAAACAAAUUAAACUAACAUGUAAACAAACACAAAUAGCACACAAACAGAAGGAAAGAAAGGAGAAAUUACCUCGGAAGCUUAAGAACAAAAAUGACCCAUGCUCGAACUGGACUCGACCUCUUUGAGGUCGAAGGGACUUUAAUUGAAGUGUCCUCAACUGAGAACACCUCAAUUAAGGUCUAUUAGACCCCAACUCUUCCUUUAAACUGGACAGACCCCCAUGGUUUUGAUUCUAGGGUUCAUACGGUCCGAUUUGGGGCUCAAAGGUCUCUACCUAGAUUCGAACCAAACCAAGCUUGGUUUGGUUACGAGUGAGGCCAGGGGAGUGACUGGUGUGAAUUUGGGGUCGGUUGGUGUAGAUCAGGUUUUUGCUCGAACCUUCAAAUGAAGAUUCGAGACGUUCGGGGAAGAUUCGAGGUAAGCUGAGUAUGGAUUUGGAGAGAGGGGGUCAUGGUGGUUCAGGGGUGUAAUUUUGGCUGGCAUCGGAGCCGACGCCGCCGGGUUUUCAGGCGAAGGAAAAGGUGGCGGCUAGGGUUUCAAGAAGGGUUCAAGUCUCUGAACUCAAAGACGAAGAGGGGGGUUUGGCUAUGGGGGCUGGGUAGGUGUUUUAGGCUUAUAUAGUGGGUGGGGUUUUUAAUUCUGGCCGUUUGAUCAAACGAGAUCGACGGCCUGGAUCAUUUGCUUGAGUGGAAACGGUGUCGUUUGGUUAAGUGGAGACUGGGUCGACCCGGGCUGGAAUGGAUCGGGUAUCUGGGAGGCCUCAGAGCCGUUAGAUCAAUAGAGAUGGAUGGCUCGGAUCUAAAACGCCUAUACGGCGUCAUUUAGACUUAUACGGGAGUCGCACUGGACCGUUCGAUCAACGGCUCAGAUUGAGAGCAUCUAAACGACGUCGUCUGGUCCUUCUAAGAGACCCGGUCAUGUGGACUGGGUCAAUGUAUCGAUUUGGGCCUGAUUUCUAUUUGAAUUUUUGGCCCAAUCUGAGUUUUUUUCAUUUUUCAACUUUUCUUUUUCUUCUUUUAAUUUUCUAAUUUAAACACAAUUCCUAAUUAAAUUGUAAAAUCAAAAAUAAAACUACACAAAUAUUAAUUAAUACUUACAACAAUUAACACACAAAUUAAAACCUUAAAAUAAAAUCACACAAUGACAACGAAUAGAAUAAAAAGGUAUAUUUUUUUUGUGAUUUUCCUUUUAGAGCCAAAUGAUGGUUUAAUUAAUUCCUAAAUGCAUAAUUAAAUCCUAAAUAUGCAUGCAAUAUGUAUUUUUGUAUUUUUUCAAUUAACUAUAAUAGGGUAAACAUUUUACGGACAAAAUAAUUACCAAAAAUGUCACGCGAAUUCUCAAAAUUGUACCCGAAGGCAACUUGCUUCAUUUCUCGAUUUCUUUUGGAGUAAUUUCCGUGAAGCAAAAAUCACGUGCUCACA
rnacentral:lncRNA from 1 species